GUAAGCUUGGGUUUGGGAGCCAUUAUAGCUGUGGCUUUUUAGGAGUUAAUUCUGCUGUUUGAGAAUUACGUGUGCCUUCAUAGGAUGAAAAGGGUUAGUGGUUUCCUCCUGUAGCCUCAGUCGAAUAUGAAGCCCUAAAUUGGUAAGGAAGACUAUUGGGCUGAUGGGAAAUAUUUCUCAGUUUCUGGGAAAGGAAAAAUUGGUCAGAUGGUGUGAAAUUCAACCUUGGGACUCCUGUCUCUGGUAAGUUAUGCCGUAACAAAAACAUUUG